rnacentral:rRNA from 1 species
AUUGAACGCUGGCGGCAGGCCUAACACAUGCAAGUCGAACGAGUGGCGGACGGGUGAGUAAUGUAUGGGAAUCUGCCUGAUGGUGGGGGAUAACUACUGGAAACGGUAGCUAAUACCGCAUACCAUCGGAUGUGCCCAGGUGGGAUUAGCUAGUUGGUGGGGUAAAGGCUCACCUAGGCGACGAUCCCUAGCUGGUCUGAGAGGAUGAACAGCCACACUGGAACUGAGACACGGUCCAGACUCCUACGGGAGGCAGCAGUGGGGAAUAUUGCACAAUGGGCGCAAGCCUGAUGCAGCCAUGCCGCGUGGAUGAAGAAGGCCUUCGGGUUGUAAAGUACUUUCGUCGGGGAAGCGUUACCCGCAGAAGAAGCACCGGCUAACUCCGUGCCAGCAGCCGCGGUAAUAC